ACUGGUUGGAAUAGGUUCCCAAAUACGAGAAAUGGAAUUACUAUUAUGUACAGAAUCAACUGAUGUUCGCAUGGUGGGAAUUUGGGGCAUGGGUGGCAUUGGUAAGACAACCCUUGCACAAGCUAUUUACGAUCGAGUUUCUAGUCAAUUUGAAGGUUGCUCCUAUCUUGAAGAUGUUGGAGAAGAUUUGAGAAAAUGAGGUUUAAUAGGUUUACAAGAGAAGCUUCUUUCUCAAAUUCUAGGACAUGAAAAUAUAAAGUUAAAUGGGCCAAUUUCUCUAAAGGCAAGGCUUUGCUCCCUAAAGGUCUUUAUUGUUCUUGACAAUGUACAUGAUCAAAAUAUACUUGAAUACUUAGUUGGAAGCCAUGAUUGGUUUGGACAAGGAAGUAGAAUCAUUAUCACAACUAGGGAUAAGCGUUUAUUAAUGUCACAUGGAGUGAGGGUCUAUGAGGUUAAGAAAUUAGUUCAUACUGAAGCUAUUGAGUUUCUUAGACGUUAUGCCUCAAAACAACAAAUUGCUAUUGACGAAUUUAUGGAGCUUUCCAACAAUAUAACAACAUAUGCUCAAGGGCUUCCAUUAGUUCUUAAAGUCCUAGGCUCUUUUUUAUUUAGCAUGAGCAAACAUGAAUGGAGAAGUGAGUUAGACAAACUAAAAGAUACUCCUCAUGGUAGAAUUCAAGAAGUGUUUCGAAUAAGUUAUGAUGGGUUGGAUGACAAAGAGAAAAACAUAUUUUUGGAUAUCGCGUGUUUUUUCAAAGGUGAAGAUAAAGAUCAUGUGAUAAAAAUAUUAGAUGGUUGUGGCUUCUUCGCAGUUAGCGGAAUAAGAGGUCUCAUUGAUAAGUCUCUUAUAACUAUUUCCAACAAUGACAAAAUAGUGAUGCAUGAUUCACUCCAAGAAAUGGGUUGGGAAAUCAUUCGCCAAACAAGCCCUAAAGAGCCUGGCAAAUGCAGCAGAUUAUGGAUUUACGAAGAUGCCUAUCAUGUAUUAAGUAAAAAUACGGGAACACAAGAAGUUGAAGGCAUAUUUUUAAACUUGUCUGGUAUAGAAGAGAUACACUUUACAACAAAGGCCUUUGCUGGGAUGGAUAAGCUUAGAUUGCUCAAAUUCUAUGACUAUAUCCCCUCGACAAACUCAGAAUGUACUAGUAAAAGGAAAUGUAAAGUGCAUAUUCCUCGGGAUUUUAAAUUUGAUUACAAUGAAUUGAGGCAUCUACAUUUACAUGGAUAUCCUUUGAAGCUGUUGCCGCAUGAUUUUAGCCCCAAGAAUCUUGUUGACCUCAGCCUGCCUUGUAGUUAUGUUAAACAACUUUGGAAAGGAAUCAAGGUUCUUGAAAAGUUAAAAUUCAUGGAUCUCAGUCACUCCAAAUAUCUUGUAGAGACCCCAAAUUUCUCAGGGAUCAGCAAUCUUGAGAAGUUAGCUCUCACAGGGUGUACGUAUUUGCGUGAGGUUCAUCCAACCCUUGGAGUUUUGGGCAAGCUUAGUUUCUUGAGUUUGAGAGACUGCAAAAUGCUGAAGAAUAUUCCAAACAGCAUUUGUAAGCUGAAAUCUCUGGAAACUUUUAUUUUUUCUGGUUGCUCAAAAGUUGAAAAUUUUCCGGAGAACUUUGGGAACUUAAUUAGAACAGUUGAAGGAGCUAUAUGCAGAUGAAACUGCUAUAAGUGCACUACCCUCCUCGAUUUGUCUCUUGAGAAACCUUCAAUUAUUAUCCUUUAAUGGAUGUAAAGGACCACCAUCUGCCUCAUGGUUAACGUUGUUGCCAAGAAAAAGUUCAAAUUCCAGCAAAUUUCUAUUGUCUCCGUUGUCAGGUUUGGGCUCUCUAAAAAAACUGAAUUUGAGAGACUGUAAUAUAUCAGAAGGAGCAGACCUGAGUCACCUUGCAAUCUUAUCUUCGCUGGAAAAUUUGGAUUUAAGUGGGAAUAACUUUAUUAGCCUGCCUUCAAGCAUGAGUCAACUUUCUCAGCUUGUAAGGCUUAAGUUGCAAAAUUGCAGAAGGCUUCAAGCAUUGUCGGAGCUUCCAUCAAGCAUAAAGGAGAUAGAUGCACAUAAUUGCAUGUCAUUAGAAACAAUCUCAAACCAGUUGCUCUUCUCGUCUCUUAGACAUGUCUCUUUUAGUGAAUGUUUGAAAAUUAAAACCUAUCAAAACAACAUUGGGUCCAUGUUGCAGGCUCUGGCAACUUUUCUUCAAACUCAGAAGAGGUCUGGAUAUGCUCAGGAUAACCCAGAGAGUGUGAACAUUGAAUUCAGCACUGUUGUUCCUGGAAGUGAAAUACCAGAUUGGUUCAGCUAUCAGAGCUCUGGGCGUAAAGUAAAUAUAGAGCUACCUCCAAAUUGGUUUAAUAGCAACUUCCUGGGUUUUGCACUUUCUGCUGUCCUUGGUUUCGAUGCCCUGCCCAGUCACGACCCUAAUUUUAACGUUUUUAGCUUAUUUUGUAUAUUCGAUUUCCAAAAUUCCGCUGCUUCUUACAGUGAUAAUGUCUUCCAUCUUAAUUCUGGGCCUGCAUUAAUCGAGUCAGAUCACCUUUGGCUGGGGUAUGCACCAGUUGUCAGCUCCUUCAAGUGGCAUGAAGUGAAUCACUUUGAGGCUGCAUUUAUGGCGUUCACCAACAACUUGGCCCUGGUGGUUAAGAGGUGUGGGAUUCGGCUAGUAUACAGCAGUGAAGAUGUGAGUGACAACAACCCAACAAUGAUCCAAUACAUUUCUCCACCUCCUCCUCCCCGUUCAACUCUCCUUAUUCAAGAAAUUGAUGAGGGGGGACCCAGUGGAAGUGCCUGCUCUAGCGAGGACUCAUGCACCUAACACAUUGAGAGGACCCAAGCCAUGAUUCCACUCAAGGGACAAUCCAUUCAUCAAUGCACUGGCUUAUGGGCUUUGAGUUCAAAGAAAAUUCAUUUAACUUUAUCUGAUAUUUAUUUUUCCUAGUAAUAACUACUUAUUAGUUAUAUGCCAUUAAGUGAAACGUACUUGAACUAUCUGAUAAUUGCUCUAGUCUAUGUGAUGGAUAUUAUCUUUGGCCAUAAGCCUAAAUAGAUAAAGAAAAUGAAAUUGAGGAA